rnacentral:rRNA from 1 species
UAAGCGUGUAGGCUGGUUUUCCAGGCAAAUCCGGAAAAUCAAGGCUGAGGCGUGAUGACGAGGCACUACGGUGCUGAAGCAACAAAUGCCCUGCUUCCAGGAAAAGCCUCUAAGCAUCAGGUAACAUCAAAUCGUACCCCAAACCGACACAGGUGGUCAGGUAGAGAAUACCAAGGCGCUUGAGAGAACUCGGGUGAAGGAACUAGGCAAAAUGGUGCCGUAACUUCGGGAGAAGGCACGCUGAUAUGUAGGUGA